GACGAACGCUGGCGGCGUGCUUAACACAUGCAAGUCGAACGAUGAAGCGGCCAGCUUGCUGGUGGUGGAUUAGUGGCGAACGGGUGAGUAACACGUGAGUAACCUGUCCUUCACUCUGGGAUAAGCCCUGGAAACGGGGUCUAAUACUAGAUAUUCUCAAUGUGCCGCAUGGUGUGUUGUGGAAAGAUUUUUUGGUGAGGGUUGGACUCGCGGCCUAUCAGCUUGUUGGUGGGGUAGUGGCCUACCAAGGCUUUGACGGGUAGCCGGCCUGAGAGGGUGACCGGCCACACUGGGACUGAGACACGGCCCAGACUCCUACGGGAGGCAGCAGUGGGGAAUAUUGCACAAUGGGCGCAAGUCUGACCGAGCAACGCCGCGUGAGUGAAGAAGGUUUUCGGAUCGUAAAGCUCUGUUGUUAGAGAAGAACAAGUGGAAUAGUAACUGAUUUCACCAUGACGGUAUCUAACCAGAAAGCCACGGCUAACUACGUGCCAGCCGCCGCAGUAAAAC
rnacentral:rRNA from 1 species